rnacentral:lncRNA from 1 species
AAUUUUUCCUUGAAAGUUACAGGAGUUUUUCAGUAUAUUCCAUGAAUACUAGAUUCAAGUUCUAAAUCUGCCUGUAUUAUUUUGGUAAUUUAAUUUAAGGCUUUUUAGAUAAUAUAAAACCAGAUUCUACAAAGAGACAAUCUUUAAGAAUGUGAAUACAUUGAUUGAGCUCCAAUAAAGUAGAUUUCUGAGAAUAUUAACUAUGUAUGUUUGCAGAAAAAAGCAAAAUAAAAUAAAAUAAAAUAAAAUAAAAUAAAAUAAAAUAAAAUAAAAUAAAAUAAAAUAAUAAAAAACCUCAUUGACUAACUUGGUUAUGAAUGUACUUUUUCAUAAUUACAGCUCAAAAAAUAGUCCUGAUCACAUGCUCUAGCACUCUCACAAGCUAAUCCAGCAUAGGUAUUCCUUUAAAAUGGACAGUGAUAGAUCUCUUUUCUUAAGAUAGAAAAGGUGAAGUCAAUGUCAGCAAUGUCACUGUAGAACUUCAGAGCAUUUAUGAAUCCAUUUGAAAAACCCAAGCAGACUCUCGGUUUGCUACAGGCAGCAUGAAAAUACUGGGAAAAGCAAAGUGUGCAAUGAUAUCAGAGCCAAGUGAACAAUGCAGAAACGGAUCCUGGGUGCCUGGAUCUCUAACCAUGACUGCAAAGCACAAAGGCUAUGUCAAAGCAUUCAUGGAUAGACUCCCCUACAUGGCUGCUAAAGAAAUUUGGAAUCAUGAGAGCAGGACUAGCCUUUUCCCAAGGGGCUGGAGAGACCUUUGCCUGAAGGCACCUGAGAUCUGGAGAAUAGCCUCCAAUAGUCUUGGAGAAUUGACAGAGGCCUCUGGGGUGCCCUGCUUAGCUGCUUUGAGGUAA